UACGUAGGGGGCAAGCGUUGUCCGGAAUUACUGGGCGUAAAGCGUGCGUAGGCGGUCUCGCAAGUCCGAUGUGAAAUCCCCGAGCUUAACUUGGGAACUGCGUUGGAAACUAUGAGGCUGGAGUGCGGCAGAGGGGGGUGGAAUUCCAGGUGUAGCAGUGAAAUGCGUAGAGAUCUGGAGGAACACCGAUGGCGAAGGCAGCCCCCUGGGCCAGCACUGACGCUGAUACACGAAAGCGUGGGGAGCAAACAGG
rnacentral:rRNA from 1 species